rnacentral:rRNA from 1 species
UGGGGAAUUUUGGACAAUGGGCGAAAGCCUGAUCCAGCCAUGCCGCGUGUGUGAAGAAGGUCUUCGGAUUGUAAAGCACUUUAAGUUGGGAGGAAGGGCAGUAAGCGAAUACCUUGCUGUUUUGACGUUACUCGCAGAAUAAGCACCGGCUACCCCUGUGCCAGCAGCCGCGGUAAUACAGAGGGUGCAAGCGUUAAUCGGAUUUACUGGGCGUAAAGCGCGCGUAGGCGGCUAAUUAAGUCAAAUGUGAAAUCCCCGAGGUUAAAUUGGGAAUUGCAUUCGAUACUGGUUAGGUAGAGUGUGGGAGAGGAGGGUAGGAUUCCAGGUGUAGCGGUGAAAAGCGUAAAGAUCUGGAGGAAUACCGAUGGCGAAGGCAGCCAUCUGGCCUAACACUGACGCUGAGGUGCGAAAGCGUGGGGAGCAAACAGG